GUACAUUGGUGCUUGCCCAGAUGACGAGUGGCGCACGGGUGCGUAACGCGUAUGCAACCUACCUUUUACUAGAGUAUAGCCCAGAGAAAUUUGGAUUAAUCCUCUAUAACAUCUUUUAAUUUCAUGAUUUUAAGAUUAAAGUUUUAACGGUAAAAGAUGGGCAUGCGUCCUAUUAGUUUGUAGGUGAGGUAACGGCUCACCUAGACUACGAUAGGUAGGGGCCCUGAGAGGGGGAUCCCCCACACUGGUACUGAGACACGGACCAGACUCCUACGGGAGGCAGCAGUAAGGAAUAUUGGACAAUGGACGAAAGUCUGAUCCAGCCAUGCCGCGUGCAGGAUGACAGCCCUACGGGUUGUAAACUGCUUUUAGACAGGAAGAAACACUCCGACGUGUCGGAGCUUGACGGUACUGUAAGAAUAAGGAUCGGCUAACUCCGUGCCAGCAGCCGCGGUAAUACGGAGGAUCCAAGCGUUAUCCGGAAUCAUUGGGUUUAAAGGGUCCGCAGGCUGUUUUUUAAGUCAGAGGUGAAAUCCUACAGCUCAACUGUAGAACUGCCUUUGAUACUGGAAAACUUGAGUUAUUGUGAAGUGGUUAGAAUGUGUGGUGUAGCGGUGAAAUGCAUAGAUAUCACACAGAAUACCGAUUGCGAAGGCAGAUCACUAACAAUAUACUGACGCUCAUGGAUGAAAGCGUGGGGAGCGAACAGGAUUAGAUACCCUGGUAGUCCACGCCGUAAACGAUGGAUACUAGCUGUUCGUCUAACAUUGGUUAGAUGAGUGGCUAAGCGAAAGUGAUAAGUAUCCCACCUGGGGAGUACG
rnacentral:rRNA from 1 species